rnacentral:SRP_RNA from 1 species
GCCGGGUGUGGUGGCGGGCACCUGUAGUCCCAGCUACUCGGGAGGCUGAGGCAGGAGAAUGGCAUGAACCCAGGAGGUGGAGCUUGCAGUGAGCCGAGAUCGUGCCACUGCACUCCAGCCUGGGUGACAGAGCCAGACUCUGUCUCAA